CCAGACUCCUACGGGAGGCAGCAGUGGGGAAUAUUGCACAAUGGGGGAAACCCUGAUGCAGCGACGCCGCGUGAGUGAAGAAGUAUUUCGGUAUGUAAAGCUCUAUCAGCAGGGAAGAAAAUGACGGUACCUGACCAAGAAGCCCCGGCUAACUACGUGCCAGCAGCCGCGGUAAUACGUAGGGGGCAAGCGUUAUCCGGAUUUACUGGGUGUAAAGGGAGCGUAGACGGUUGUGCAAGUCAGAAGUGAAAGCCCGGGGCUCAACUCCGGGACUGCUUUUGAAACUGUGAAACUGGAGUGCAGGAGAGGUAAGCGGAAUUCCUGGUGUAGCGGUGAAAUGCGUAGAUAUCAGGAGGAACACCAGUGGCGAAGGCAACUAUCUGGCACAUAACUGACGCUGAGGAGCGAAAGCGUGGGUAGCAAACAGGAUUAGAUACCCCUGUAC
rnacentral:rRNA from 1 species